GAUGAACGCUGGCGGCGUGCUUAACACAUGCAAGUCGAGCGGAAAGGCCCUUCGGGGUACUCGAGCGGCGAAUGGGUGAGUAACACGUGAGCAACCUGCCCUAGGCUUUGGGAUAACCCCGGGAAACCGGGGCUAAUACCGAAUAGGACCACUGGCCGCAUGGCCGGUGGUGGAAAGUUUUUCGGCCUGGGAUGGGCUCGCGGCCUAUCAGCUUGUUGGUGGGGUGAUGGCCUACCAAGGCGACGACGGGUAGCCGGCCUGAGAGGGCGACCGGCCACACUGGGACUGAGACACGGCCCAGACUCCUACGGGAGGCAGCAGUGGGGAAUAUUGCACAAUGGGCGGAAGCCUGAUGCAGCGACGCCGCGUGAGGGAUGACGGCCUUCGGGUUGUAAACCUCUUUCAGCAGGGACGAAGCGUAAGUGACGGUACCUGCAGAAGAAGCGCCGGCCAACUACGUGCCAGCAGCCGCAGUAAGAC
rnacentral:rRNA from 1 species